rnacentral:lncRNA from 1 species
CCUGUUUCACCCUCAUGCCGAACGGGGUAUUAAGGUUUAGUGGCUUGUCGCUCAUACCGGAUGGGGUAUGGGGACGACCCUUAAAUUGAAAAUGUUGAAGGGAAGGGUUCAUGCGUAGCGGAGACAUCCCUAUAAACCCCAUGGAUACCAGUAGGCCGAUAAAAGGAAAGAUUGUUAUUUGAUUUAUUGAAUAUGGAUUUAUAAUGUGUG